GACGAACGCUGGCGGCGUGCUUAACACAUGCAAGUCGAACGGAAAGGCCCUGCUUUUGUGGGGUGCUCGAGUGGCGAACGGGUGAGUAACACGUGAGUAACCUGCCCUUGACUUUGGGAUAACUUCAGGAAACUGGGGCUAAUACCGGAUAGGAGCUCCUGCUGCAUGGUGGGGGUUGGAAAGUUUCGGCGGUUGGGGAUGGACUCGCGGCUUAUCAGCUUGUUGGUGGGGUAGUGGCUUACCAAGGCUUUGACGGGUAGCCGGCCUGAGAGGGUGACCGGGCCCAUUGGGACUGAGGUACGGCCCAGAAUCCUACGGGAGGCAACAGGGGGGAAUAUUGCACAAUGGGGGGGAGCCCGAUGCAGGAACGCCGGGUGCGGGAUGACGGGCUUCGGGUUGUAAACCGCUUUCGCCUGUGACGAAGCGUGAGUGACGGUAAUGGGUAAAAAAGCACCGGCUAACUACGUG
rnacentral:rRNA from 1 species